CUCGUCUGACGCCUGGUUGAUGGAGUGGACGAUGUUGGAAUUGAGAGACUCCCUUUCCUUGAAAACCAGACAGGCAACAGGUUCAAGGCCGGCUCCACACAGACAUCCGGGUGUGGUUGUCUUAUGGGCCGGCUCCACACAGACAUCCGGGUGUGGUUGCCUUAUGGGUGUGGAAGACUAAAACACCCCCGAGAGAAAUAUGGUUCUGCCUAGACAGAUUGGAUAUAAAUAUUUUUUUUCUUAUAUGUUUUCUGUACAGUGCUGUUGUGUUUUUAGGAUUUUAUCCAUCCAACCAUAUUUUACUCUACGCUAUUAAUGUUCCCCCUUAAUCCUCAUAAUUAUGUCUGUGUUUUUAUUUGAUUGUAAUUCUCAGUCUCUAUAAAGCAUUUUGGUAAACAUUUGUUAUUUUUUAAAAUG